rnacentral:rRNA from 1 species
AGUCGAGCGAGCAAAGUUAAAGGAAUACUUCGGUAGGAAUUUAAUAGCGCGAGCGGCGGAUGGGUGAGUAACACGUGGGCAACCUGCCCUUUAGCUUGGGAUACCACUUGGAAACAGGUGCUAAUACCAAAUAAGAAGUAAGAGCGCAUGCUCAAGCUAUGAAAGGCGGCUUUCGAGCUGUCACUAAAGGAUGGGCCCGCGGUGCAUUAGCUAGUUGGUAAGGUAACGGCUUACCAAGGCAAUGAUGCAUAGCCGAGUUGAGAGACUGAUCGGCCACAUUGGGACUGAGACACGGCCCAAACUCCUACGGGAGGCAGCAGUAGGGAAUCUUCCACAAUGGACGCAAGUCUGAUGGAGCAACGCCGCGUGAGUGAAGAAGGUUUUCGGAUCGUAAAGCUCUGUUGUUGGUGAAGAAGGACAUGGGUAGUAACUGAUCUAUGUUUGACGGUAAUCAACCAGAAAGUCACGGCUAACUACGUGCCAGCAGCCGCGGUAAUACGUAGGUGGCAAGCGUUGUCCGGAUUUAUUGGGCGUAGAGCGAACGCAGGCGGGAGAACAAGUCAGCUGUGAAAGCCCUCGGCUUAACCGAGGAACGGCAACUGAAACUGUUUUUCUUGAGUGCAGAAGAGGAGAGUGGAACUCCAUGUGUAGCGGUGAAAUGCGUAGAUAUAUGGAAGAACACCAGUGGCGAAGGCGGCUCUCUGGUCUGUAACUGACGCUGAGGUUCGAAAGCAUGGGUAGCGAACAGGAUUAGAUACCCUGGUAGUCCAUGCCGUAAACGAUGAGUGCUAAGUGUUGGGAGGUUUCCGCCUCUCAGUGCUGCAGCUAACGCAUUAAGCACUCCGCCUGGGGAGUACGACCGCAAGGUUAAAACUCAAAGGAAUUGAC